GAAAGGGAAGAGGACAUUCCAGCAAGCUGAAUAGAGGGGGCAAAGCCACAGGGCCACAAACACCUACUACGGAGAAGUGUUAGUUCAGCUGCAAAGAGCCUGCGUGCCUGGAGCCAGGAAAGGCAGGGCUUUCAGGCAGGAGGAGGGAGGAGCUGGAGCCUAAAAGCCCUCGCUUGCCGGGACUCCCGGCGCUCCGCAGCCAGACACAGAGAGGCAACCGGUGGAGGCAGCUUGGGGGCGAGAUAAGAAGCAGAGCAGGGACCCAGGCCCCGGGACCGCCUCCAGCAGGACGGCCCAGCAGCUCAGAGAGAAAGGCCGGCGGGCGCACAAUCGUGUUCUGAAACGCAGGAACUGGGACUUUUGUUUUGGCUCCAGGACGGGGCUGAGAGCGCACACAAUGCCCAGUGUUGAAACUCCCUGUUUGGAAGGAAGAACAGUUGCACAUCUGGGAAAGGUCUUACGGCUGCCUGGUCUCACCACCCUCUCCGCCACCCCCACGGCUGUGGGCCCAGCUGGGAAAUGAACUCUCCCAGCACAUGGUCACUUACAACACAGCGUUUGGACCAUCAACGUUUUCCUCUUUCAGACUUCACAGAGCAAGCUGCACUCUACACAGGCCCGUCGUGGCUUGUCCCCAGAAGCGGAGUGAGACGGAGCCAGGAAACCAGCUCCUUACUCCAAAUCAACCCAAUAUAAAGAAAAAGAUGGCAGAGGCUAAAAUGUGUAAGUUGGAAAGUGCUCGAAGCCGGACGUGCCACCCUCUCCUCUUAGGUCCAUCACAGCCUCAGCACUUCCAACAUCAUUAUCAUCCACUCCAAAUAAUAACUUGGAAAACUAGAGCCCUGCUUGUAAUUGCCAUUCUUUGAUUUAAUCUCAGGCCAAGGUGCAGCACUCCAGCACUUCAUUACUAACACCAGGAGAAAACGUCUAAGCGCCUCAUAUAAUGAGCACUUACCCACAUACAGAUGAUCCACUUUAAGAAUAAUUGACAGUACACCUUAAGCCCAAGACUCCUUUUGUAUUUGUCCCAUGACUUUCCCCCACAACCCACUGACCAGCCUCCUCCCCCAAAAGUACUGCUGAGAAGCUUGAGGAAGGAAGAGAAGAGCCAAGACUACACUUAGAAAAUACAACUCAAAGAAAAAGGAAAUAUAACUCAUACCAGCCUCAACUACACAUGAACUGAGAAGUAAA